GACGAACGCUGGCGGCGUGCUUAACACAUGCAAGUCGAACGGAAAGGCCCUGCUUUUGUGGGGUGCUCGAGUGGCGAACGGGUGAGUAACACGUGAGUAACCUGCCCUUGACUUUGGGAUAACUUCAGGAAACUGGGGCUAAUACCGGAUAGGAGCUCCUGCUGCAUGGUGGGGGUUGGAAAGUUUCGGCGGUUGGGGAUGGACUCGCGGCUUAUCAGCUUGUUGGUGGGGUAGUGGCUUACCAAGGCUUUGACGGGUAGCCGGCCUGAGAGGGUGACCGGCCACAUUGGGACUGAGAUACGGCCCAGACUCCUACGGGAGGCAGCAGUGGGGAAUAUUGCACAAUGGGCGGAAGCCUGAUGCAGCAACGCCGCGUGCGGGAUGACGGCCUUCGGGUUGUAAACCGCUUUCGCCUGUGACGAAGCGUGAGUGACGGUAAUGGGUAAAGAAGCACCGGCUAACUACGUGCCAGCAGCCGCGGUGAUACGUAGGGUGCGAGCGUUGUCCGGAUUUAUUGGGCGUAAAGGGCUCGUAGGUGGUUGAUCGCGUCGGAAGUGUAAUCUUGGGGCUUAACCCUGAGCGUGCUUUCGAUACGGGUUGACUUGAGGAAGGUAGGGGAGAAUGGAAUUCCUGGUGGAGCGGUGGAAUGCGCAGAUAUCAGGAGGAACACCAGUGGCGAAGGCGGUUCUCUGGGCCUUUCCUGACGCUGAGGAGCGAAAGCGUGGGGAGCGAACAGGCUUAGAUACCCUGGUAGUCCACGCUGUAAACGGUGGGUACUAGGUGUGGGGUCCAUUCCACGGGUUCCGUGCCGUAGCUAACGCUUUAAGUACCCCGCCUGGGGAGUACGGCCGCAAGGCUAAAACUCAAAGGAAUUGACGGGGCCCCGCACAAGCGGCGGAGCAUGCGGAUUAAUUCGAUGCAACGCGUAGAACCUUACCUGGGUUUGACAUGGAUCGGGAGUGCUCAGAGAUGGGUGUGCCUCUUUUGGGGUCGGUUCACAGGUGGUGCAUGGCUGUCGUCAGCUCGUGUCGUGAGAUGUUGGGUUAAGUCCCGCAACGAGCGCAACCCUUGUACACUGUUGCCAGCACGUUAUGGUGGGGACUCAGUGGAGACCGCCGGGGUCAACUCGGAGGAAGGUGGGGAUGACGUCAAGUCAUCAUGCCCCUUAUGUCCAGGGCUUCACGCAUGCUACAAUGGCUGGUACAGAGAGUGGCGAGCCUGUGAGGGUGAGCGAAUCUCGGAAAGCCGGUCUCAGUUCGGAUUGGGGUCUGCAACUCGACCUCAUGAAGUCGGAGUCGCUAGUAAUCGCAGAUCAGCAACGCUGCGGUGAAUACGUUCCCGGGGCU
rnacentral:rRNA from 1 species